UCACACAGAUAGCUGGUUACAAGCCUUUCCAAAUAUGGUUAGAAGUGUUUUCUGGUUAAUUCAGAGUGGUGAAUAUGGUGGGGCGGGGAAUCACUUUUGCUCUUUUGUGCAUUCUUGACUUAUUCCUCCCGUGUUGUACAGGUCAUACACCAAAGAGGGAUUUGAUGGCAGUUGG
rnacentral:lncRNA from 1 species